rnacentral:lncRNA from 1 species
CCAGUCAGAGUCCUGACCUCAACCCGAUUGAGAUGCUGUGGCAUGACCUCAAGAAAGCGAUUUACACCAGACAUCCCAAGAAUAUUGCUGAACUGAAACAGUUCUGUAAAGAGGAAUGGUCAAGAAUUACUCCUGACCGUUGUGCAUGUCUGAUCUGCAACUACAGGAAACGUUUGGUUGAAGUUUUUGCUGCCAAAGGAGGUUCAACCAGUUAUUAAAUCCAGGGGUUCACAUGCUUUUUCCACCUGCACUGUGAAUGUUUACAUGGUGUGUUCAAUAAAAACAUGGCAACAUUUCAUUCUUUGUGUGUUAUUAGUUUAAGCAGACUGUGAUUGUCUAU